GACAGAGGGUGCAAACGUUGUUCGGAAUUACUGGGCGUAAAGCGCGUGUAGGCGGCUAAGUAAGUCGGGCGUGAAAUCCCACGGCUCAACCGUGGAAGUGCACUCGAAACUGCAUAGCUAGAGUCCUGGAGAGGAAGGUGGAAUGCUUGGUGUAGAGGCGAAAUUCGUAGAUAUCAAGCGGAACACCGGUGGCGAAGGCGGCCUUCUGGACAGUGACUGACGCUGAGACGCGAAAGCGUGGGGAGCAAACAGG
rnacentral:rRNA from 1 species